UGUAGCUGAAACUUCGUUUCCUCCAGAGUGGAUCCUGAGUACGGCGGGACACGUGAAACCCCGUCGGAAUCCGGGAGGACCAUCUCCCAAGGCUAAAUACUCCCUAGUGACCGAUAGUGAACCAGUACCGUGAGGGAAAGGUGAAAAGCACCCCGGAAGGGGAGUGAAAGAGAUCCUGAAACCGUGUGCCUACAACUAGUCAGAGCCCGUUAACGGGUGAUGGCGUGCCUUUUGUAGAAUGAACCGGCGAGUUACGGUAUCGUGCAAGGUUAAGCUGAUGAAGCGGAGCCGCAGCGAAAGCGAGUCUGAAUAGGGCGCAUUAGUACGAUGCCGUAGACCCGAAACCGGGUGAUCUACCCAUGUCCAGGGUGAAGGUCGGGUAACACCGACUGGAGGCCCGAACCCACGCAAGUUGAAAAUUGCGGGGAUGAGGUGUGGGUAGGGGUGAAAUGCCAAUCGAACUCGGAAAUAGCUGGUUCUCCCCGAAAUAGCUUUAGGGCUAGCCUCGAGUGAUGAGUCUUGGAGGUAGAGCACUGAUUGGACGAGGGGUCCCCACAGGAUUACCGAAUUCAGUCAAACUCCGAAUGCCAAUGACUUUAACUCGGGAGUCAGACUGCGAGUGCUAAGAUCCGUAGUCAAGAGGGAAACAGCCCAGACCAUCAGCUAAGGUCCCCAAGUAUACGUUAAGUGGAAAAGGAUGUGGAGUUGCCCAGACAACCAGGAUGUUGGCUUAGAAGCAGCCAUCAUUGAAAGAGUGCGUAAUAGCUCACUGGUCGAGUGACUCUGCGCCGAAAAUGUACCGGGGCUAAACGUAUCACCGAAGCUAUGGCAAUCCCGUAUGGGAUUGGGUAGGGGAGCGUUCCAAGGACAGCGAAGCUAGAUCGUGAGGACUGGUGGAGUGCUUGGAAGUGAGAAUGCCGGUAUGAGUAGCGAAAAGAUAGGUGAGAAUCCUAUCCGUCGAAAGCCCAAGGUUUCCUGAGGAAGGCUCGUCCGCUCAGGGUUAGUCGGGACCUAAGCCGAGGCCGAAAGGCGUAGGCGAUGGACAACAGGUUGAUAUUCCUGUACCACCUCGUAUUCGUUUGAACGAUGGGGGGACGCAGAAAGGUAGGGUGAGCGCGCCGCUGGCUGUGCGCGUCGAAGCAUGCGAGGCUGGAACAUAGGCAAAUCCGUGUUCCGUAAGGCUGAGCUGUGACCGUGAAGGACCUUCGGGUCCGAAAUCCCUGAUCCUCCGCUGCCGAGAAAAGCCUCUAGUGAGAAUACAGGUGCCCGUACCGCAAACCGACACAGGUAGGCGAGAAGAGAAUUCUAAGACGCUCGGGAGAACUCUCGUUAAGGAACUCGGCAAAAUGACCCCGUAACUUCGGGAGAAGGGGUGCUCUAGUAGGGUUAACCGCCCGAGAGAGCCGCAGUGAAAGGAUCCAAGCGACUGUUUAGCAAAAACACAGGUCUCUGCGAAGCCGUAAGGCGAAGUAUAGGGGCUGACACCUGCCCGGUGCUGGAAGGUUAAGAGGAAGGGUCAUCCCAAAUGGUGAGAAGCUCUGAAUUGAAGCCCCAGUAAACGGCGGCCGUAACUAUAACGGUCCUAAGGUAGCGAAAUUCCUUGUCGGGUAAGUUCCGACCCGCACGAAUGGUGCAACGACUUGGAUACUGUCUCAACGAGAGACCCGGUGAAAUUAUAGUACCUGUGAAGAUGCAGGUUACCCGCGACAGGACGGAAAGACCCCAUGGAGCUUUACUGUAGCUUGAUAGUGAGUGUUGGUAUCAUCUGUACAGGAUAGGUAGGAGCCUUGGAAACCGGAGCGCUAGCUUCGGUGGAGGCGUCGGUGGGAUACUACCCUGAUGGUGCUGGCAUUCUAACCUCGACCCGUGAUCCGGGCCAGGGACAUUGUCAGGUGGGCAGUUUGACUGGGGCGGUCGCCUCCUAAACAGUAACGGAGGCGCCCAAAGGUUCCCUCAGAAUGGUUGGAAAUCAUUCGUAGAGUGCAAAGGCAGAAGGGAGCUUGACUGCGAGACCUACAAGUCGAGCAGGGACGAAAGUCGGGCUUAGUGAUCCGGCGGUGCCGUAUGGAAGGGCCGUCGCUCAACGGAUAAAAGCUACCCUGGGGAUAACAGGCUUAUCUCCCCCAAGAG
rnacentral:rRNA from 2 species